rnacentral:rRNA from 1 species
GUUGAACGCUGGCGGCGUGCCUAAUACAUGCAAGUCGAGCGAACGGACGAGAAGCUUGCUUCUCUGAUGUUAGCGGCGGACGGGUAAGUAACACGUGGAUAACCUACCUAUAAGACUGGGAUAACUUCGGGAAACCGGAGCUAAUACCGGAUAAUAUUUUGAACCGCAUGGUUCAAAAGUGAAAGACGGUCUUGCUGUCACUUAUAGAUGGAUCCGCGCUGCAUUAGCUAGUUGGUAAGGUAACGGCUUACCAAGGCAACGAUGCAUAGCCGACCUGAGAGGGUGAUCAGCCACACUGGAACUGAGACACGGUCCAGACUCCUACGGGAGGCAGCAGUAGGGAAUCUUCCGCAAUGGGCGAAAGCCUGACGGAGCAACGCCGCGUGAGUGAUGAAGGUCUUCGGAUCGUAAAACUCUGUUAUUAGGGAAGAACAUAUGUGUAAGUAACUGUGCACAUCUUGACGGUACCUAAUCAGAAAGCCACGGCUAACUACGUG